rnacentral:sRNA from 1 species
UCUCAAUACCUUUCGCUCCGUCACGAG